rnacentral:tRNA from 2 species
GGGUGGCUAGUUCAGCGGUAGAACGCUUCUCUGAUAAAGAAGAGGUGGAUGGUUCGACUCCAUCGUCACCCACUA